UUCAGGGGGGGGGGGGGGAUUUCAGCUGCGGUCAGGUAGAUGAAUUGCGAUGGAGACUUGGCAGAAGCAGUGGUUCGUUCGCAGUGGCCCGCGAGGGGCGCGGCUUGUUGAAAAAUAAGCUUUUUUGGUAGCUCCAGAUUCUGGAGCUCAGUCCAAAAAAUGCCGACACGAGCUCAGUCUAAAAAAUGUUGGAUGUUCUCGAAGUAAUACUUGGAAUAUGUAGUAUGGACAGGGCUCUUCUAUGCCAAAUCAAGAAGUCAACGUUGGCCCUGGUGAAAAACUUCAGGACGACAUGGGAGCCGAAAAGAGUCAGCUUGUUGUUGAUGUUGUUGGCCUUGAUGAACUUGAUGAAACCAAAGUCCGUAAGAAAAAUACAAUGGCGGCGUCUUAUACUGGUGGGCACCGCAAUAUGGCUGAAAACUUUCAUGGUGCGGUGGUUGCUUAACUUGGCGAGGACUCACCUGAUAUAUUCACAAUCUUCACAUGUGAUCUAAAAUGGUCUGAAAUAGCUGAGGAUCUUGAACCUCGACAUGAAGCAGUUGAUACAACAGAUAUUAUCAUUCGAGUAUAUCACAUGAAGCUCCUUAAGUAUCUACAGAAGAUCAAAACCGGGAAGGUGUUUGGGACUGUGUUAGCUGUUGUCCACCCCACGGAGUUCCAGAAGAGGGGUCUGCCACAUGCGCAUAUCCUUGUUUGGCAGAAGAAGGAUAAUGACCACGUGCCACAUGCGCAUAUCCUUGUUUGGCAGAAGAAGGAUAAUGACCACGUGCCACAUGCGCAUAUCCUUGUUUGGCAGAAGAAGGAUAAUGACCACGUGCUUGCACCAGCUUUCAUUAAUUUGUCUGCUUCAACCGCUGUUAAUAUUUCUAUCAAAUCUAGCUUCCUCUUUCAAUUUUUUGUUACUUUCCUCUUGCAUGGUUCCCAAUGAUUAACUUUGCCCUGUGACAGGCAUCUGAACUGAUUGACAUUAGUGUUGAUACUCCUGCCGCUGCAAUUACUAACACCAUGGAAACCGCACUUGCUGAACCACCCAGACUUGAAAUGGAAGCCCUCUAUCUACAACAAAUAAAAAAUGCCAUUACCUAUCUAUCUAAACUGGAAAUGGACGCAUGAAUCAUUAAAAAAUUAAUGCUAGGAAACCCCAUGCAAUAGAUAUUCUGCUGCUAUAGCAAUUAGAGUUUUGAUCCUCUAUUUCCUUGUUUUACAUUGUUAGGUUUUUUCCCUGUUCUUAUACAAUAUAAAUAUGUAUCUCUCAUAUACUCCUUCUAUUGGGAACUUGCUAAUCUUAGGAGUGCUGCUGCUUCUGCAAUGCCCGUUCCAGAAAAAAACAAGUAGUGGUUGAUCGACGCUUUGGGAUGAGUGUCCGUUUGUGGUUGAUUUGUAUAUAGAAGCUCGAUGCCUUGUCCCUCGCUACUUUCACCCUAGCUGCUAAAGGCACCGUCCGCAAGAACAAGUGAAGACUGCUUCAUCAUCGCUAUUUUAAGUCCUUAUCUUUGUACUCUUUUGAACAGGCUACUGCUGUGUUGUUAGCGUGUUUGCGAAUCCAGUCUUUUGCGCUCAUAGAGCCAUGUCAAAUCUAGCAAUCCAUGAAGAAAAGGGCUGCGUAUAAUUGACUAUCCUAUAUAAGCAAACCACAGCAGCCCUUACCUUGCAACUCAGUAUCAAUAUAAGUACCUACCAAAGCUGUUAUAUGUGCCAUCCUUUUGCAUCUUAUGUAAGCUACCUAAAACUAUCA